GCAUCUGCCAAACCGCCCGUUUGGAUGGUUGUGCUCUGAGGAAAUACGCACAGAAUGUCAUUUCAUCAGGCCAUAGCUGUCCAAAUUGGUAUAGAGUUUG
rnacentral:pre_miRNA from 15 species